rnacentral:lncRNA from 7 species
UCGGGCAAGUAGUUUGCCCAGCCGGCUUACAUAAAUCUCCGCGCACCACUAUCUUCGCCGUACCCCGUGCCACCGCCUCGUUACAACCACCGCGAUAACCAGCGACUACAGAGGUCUGUAAGCCGAGCGCCGCGGGUGGAGUACCACCCUACGUGCCCGGUGGGCGCGUUGAGUAAUUCCUGGGGUACCCUGAACGCGGGCGUCACCGAUUGUGGGUGAAGGCGGGACCGUGCGGGUGGAAUUUCUCGACGGAUUAGUCUUCACCGCCAAGCCGCUCCUCACACCGACCAGACCCCUACGUCCUCCUCCACUGACAACGAGCAGCUGGUGGUUCCUGAGUGUGUUGCCG